GGUGUGUGGGGCUGGGCAGCAUCCGCCAGGCCCAGGCCCCGGGAACUGAAGGUGUUUCCUCCACGUCAGCCUCUGCACCUCCUAAGCACACACCUGCUGCAGGUGCCGGGAGUCAGUGCCUGAGACACCUGAGGACGCCUCCUCCUUGAAGGCUGGAGUCGACUGACUGCAUCUUGUACUGAUUUUGCGGGGAUUUCUGGUCUUUUUUAUCCAAUGCACGCUGGUCCCCGCCGCUGCUGGAGUGAGGCUGGUUGUCUCUGAGUGGGCUCUGCACCCUCACAGCAGGCAUCCUGACCCCUUUCUUUCCCACUCCAAGCUCACAUGCUGGAUCCCGCACCACAGACAGCCCCGAGGCCGCGCUCACAAGACCAGAUGGCCAGCUCGCCAUUUCUACCUUUCGGUGUCCAGGAGUUUUUCUUUUGUCUUUACUUGUUUAUUGAGGAAUGAAGAGUCAAUGAAGACUGAUCAAGACACUGCCUUGAAAGGGUUUCAUGGGCAAAGAACAAAAGCAAAUCAAAGGGUUCAUCCAGGCAAGGGGCUGACGCUCUUCCCCUGUUGGGGAGGAGGAACAGAUGAGGGCGGGGAGGACACAGCCCAGGACUCACAAGGCCCUGCCGUCCACAUUUCCUGAGAACUGCGAAGCAUCGUGCAGCCACGAGUUUCCCCAGACACCAGCACCCAUCCCCAGGCCUGCGGGUCAGUGAUUCUAGCUCAUCUGAUGGGCCGUCCAUAGGGAAGGGAUGGGCCCGCAGACCUGCCUGUUUGGUUGAUUGAAGUGGGACCUCUUUCACGACGAACGCCAGAUUGAAAUUCAUCACAGCAAAUGCCUAAGUUUGGAGAACAAUAUAUUUAUAGUGAGCUGAUUAGAUAUCAGAUGCACCUUUUCUCAACAAGUCGUUCUCUCACCCGUCUGAUUUCUAACCUCCUGAAGAGCAAAACCUGUCACCGACCCAGGAGCAGCAGGCAGAAGAGAAAUUCCAAAACAUCCUGAAGAGCAAGAGGCUCUGUGGAAAAUACCAGGGCUUGUGCAGGCGGGGGAGCUCACCGCCCUGGGCCAGAAGCCCCUCACCUGGAGGCAGCGGGUGCUGCCCUGAGUCAGGGCCCACAGGAGGCUUCUGGGCACAGACACACCCUGCAGAGAGGGUCCUGCUGGAACGCUUUGACAUUUCUAGGAUCUGGACUGUCCACGGGGAGAGACCAGGAGGGCAUGAGAAAUACGCUGAGUUGGGGCCGGGUGCAGUGGCUCAUGCCUGUCAUCCUAGCACUUUGGGAGGCCAAGACGGGUGGAUCACAUGAGGCUAGGAGUUUGAGACCAGCUUGGCCAGCAUGAUGAAACCCCGUAUCUACUAAAAAUACAAAUAUUAGCUGGGCUUGAUGGUGCACACCUGUAGUCCCAGCUACUUGGGAGGCUGAAGCAGGAGAAUCACUUGAACUUGGGAGGCUGAGGCAGGAGAAUCACUUGAACUUGGGAGGCUGAGGCAGGAGAAUCACUUGAACCCAGGAGGCGGAGGAGGUUGCAGUGAGCAGAAAUCGUGCCACUGCUCUCCAGCCUGGGCUACAGAGUAAGACUCUGUCUCAAAAAGAAAAAAAAA
rnacentral:lncRNA from 10 species